GGAUGGCUGAGAUCCUUCAGAUGUAUACAUACAAAAACAAUAUCAAACAUUUGUUUAACAAUUAGAUGGAUAGCUGUUAGAUAACUCCCAGGUCAAAUAUAAUGUCACAAUCUAUGCCUUACAGAAGAAAUAUGAAUAUAAAAAAAUAUCUGAUGUAAUGUAUAAAAAUUAAAACUGCAAGUUCAACCACAGAAGUUACCCAAUCAGAUUCUCAUUUCUUAGUAGAUGAGUGGGCUGCCAAAUUUCUCUCAGGGGAGUGCAAGUAUAAUCUCCAAGCAAUUAAAGAAACCCAGUUGGGUAUAUAUAUAGAAACUAAGAAGAACCAAGAAUCUUGGAGAUGAAGAGGAGGAGAGAAAUGGAGAAAGGGUCAGAGAUACAAUCUGCCAUUGAAGAGCUUUCCUUGCU
rnacentral:misc_RNA from 1 species